AGGAUGAACGCUGGCGGCGUGCUUAACACAUGCAAGUCGAACGGUUCUAGCAAUAGGACAGUGGCGCACGGGUGAGUAACACGUAGCUAACCUGCCCUCGAGCGCGGGAUAACGUUCCGAAAGGAAUGCUAAUACCGCAUAAGCUCACGCUCUGUAGAGGGGCGUGAGAAAAGGCUUAGGUCACUUGAGGAGGGCGG
rnacentral:rRNA from 1 species